rnacentral:rRNA from 1 species
AGAGUUUGAUCAUGGCUCAGGAUGAACGCUAGCGGCAGGCUUAAUACAUGCAAGUCGUGGGGCAGCAGGGUUGUAGCAAUACAAUCGCUGGCGACCGGCAAACGGGUGCGUAACACGUACGCAACCUUCCCGUUACUGUGGAAUAGCCCAGGGAAACUUGGAUUAAUACCACAUAUUAUACUGAUGAGGCAUCUCGUUGAUAUCAAAGCUUCGGCGGUAACGGAUGGGCGUGCGGUUGAUUAGGUAGUUGGCGGGGUAACGGCCCACCAAGCCUACGAUCAAUAGCUGAUGUGAGAGCAUGAUCAGCCACACGGGCACUGAGACACGGGCCCGACUCCUACGGGAGGCAGCAGUAAGGAAUAUUGGGCAAUGGACGAAAGUCUGACCCAGCCAUGCCGCGUGAAGGAUUAAGGUCCUCUGGAUUGUAAACUUCUUUUCUCUGGGGCGAAAACCACCCUUUCUAGGGUAUUUGACAGUACCAGAGGAAUAAGCACCGGCUAACUCCGUGCCAGCAGCCGCGGUAAUACGGAGGGUGCAAGCGUUAUCCGGAUUCACUGGGUUUAAAGGGUGCGUAGGUGGGUCUGUAAGUCAGUGGUGAAAUCCCCGAGCUUAACUUGGGAACUGCCGUUGAUACCAUAGAUCUUGAAUAUCGUGGAGGUAAGCGGAAUAUGUCAUGUAGCGGUGAAAUGCUUAGAUAUGACAUAGAACACCAAUUGCGAAGGCAGCUUACUACACGAUCAUUGACACUGAGGCACGAAAGCGUGGGGAGCAAACAGGAUUAGAUACCCUAGUAGUCC